ensembl:lncRNA
AUCCAGUUUUCAAUGCCUUCGAUGGCCUUGCUCACUGCUAGCACUGGAUCAGAGCCAAAAUCCUGGAUGCCUUCAUAAAAACAGUUUCUCAGCAGUGAACCCACAACAGCACAAGAGUAAAUAAAACAGGAACUGUGAAAAUUAAUUAGGCCUAUUUAAAACUUACUUGCAAUCUGAUCGUCACUGACAAAAUCAAACAUGACAACACCUGCUAUUGACCAAGAAAUCAGAAGUGUGAUGAUGACCACCCACUGUGCCGGGCGAUUCAUGAUUCGUAAAAUUCCAUGGCUCCCGGCAGUAAGUGAGUCUGUGUGUGCUGUUCUAGCCGGGGCAGCUACACCAGUGGGAGGGAUGGACUUCACCACGGGACCUGGAGACAUAUGGAUGAAUUUACACAUAGACUAAGGGCAUAGCAAACCUUGCUCCUAAAUGUCACAGAAAGUGGAAAAUGUUACCCAAAGCUGUUCUCUAAGAGCAAGAUGCAUGACUGACUUCACGCUUGCAAGAAUAAACUGCAUCUCCAUCUUGUGUUAUUUUCUCCCUGCUGUAUGUGACGUCAGAUGUGUACUUCCAUGUGGUUGGAUCAACAUGUUUUGGCUGGAAUGCAGUGGCCCUCCGCUGGACAUGCAGGGAAUCACAGAACUGCACUACUGAAAUAAAAAUAUAGCAGCAGUAUGAAAG